rnacentral:rRNA from 1 species
UACGGAGGAUGCGAGCGUUAUCCGGAUUUAUUGGGUUUAAAGGGUGCGUAGGCGGCCGAGUAAGUCAGCGGUGAAAUUUUGCAGCUUAACUGUAACAGUGCCGUUGAUACUGCAUGGCUAGGAUUUGGUUGCUGUGGGUGGAAUGUGUGGUGUAGCGGUGAAAUGCUUAGAUAUCACACAGAAUAUCGAUUGCGAAGGCAGCUCACAAAGCCAAGACUGACGCUGAGGCACGAAAGCGUGGGGAGCAAACA